GUGGGGAAUCUUGCGCAAUGGGCGGAAGCCUGACGCAGCAACGCCGCGUGGGGGAUGAAGGCUUUCGGGUUGUAAACCCCUUUCAGCAGGGACGAUGAUGACGGUACCUGCAGAAGAAGGACCGGCCAACUACGUGCCAGCAGCCGCGGUAAUACGUAGGGUCCGAGCGUUGUCCGGAUUUAUUGGGCGUAAAGAGCUCGUAGGUGGCUUCGUAAGUCGGGUGUGAAAACCCCAGGCUCAACCUGGGGACGCCACUCGAUACUGCGGUGGCUUGAGUCUGGUAGGGGAUCACGGAAUUCCUGGUGUAGCGGUGAAAUGCGCAGAUAUCAGGAGGAACACCAGUGGCGAAGGCGGUGAUCUGGGCCAGUACUGACACUGAGGAGCGAAAGCGUGGGGAGCGAACAGGAUUAGAAACCCUAGUAGUCC
rnacentral:rRNA from 1 species